ACUUUCAAGGAAGAAGCAAUAACUUCACCAUCAGCACCCAAAGCUGAUUUUCUUUUUAAACUAUUCC
rnacentral:tRNA from 1 species